UUUACUUCAGCUUGGACCAAGCAUGUCUGUGCCCUUAUGCAAACAUCAACCACAGUUUGUAUUUGUAUUAUCACCACCAAAAGUAGUUCGGAAGCAAAGGGAAAAUAUCUUCUGCCUUGUGAUUACUUGCAUCCAUGGCUCUGCUGAAAAUAGGUGGGAGGUAAGAAAAACAACAGUGACAAAUUAUAAAGAGGGAACACACUGAUCAGGAAAAGCUGCAGAGGAAAGUAAGUGUGACACAACUUCCUUGCUUUUUGCAGCUAGCGGACAGCUUGGAAUUUAAAUUCUCAAUACUGGAAACAGAACAAGUCUCCAAAAUUAACAAUUUUUCUAUGUUUUUUGCCUAUUGGAGCCACUGGAAAAAAGGAGACAAUAUGAAGAGGGGCAAU